ACCUCUCAACUGUUUACUGAACGCAGAGCUGUGAUGUUUAGCAGCUGCAAUGCAGAGACUUCAUUGGCUGAGUAGCGUCACGUGGGAUGGCUGAACUCGUACGUAAUUGGUCUGUGUGUUUCCUGAGCUGAUAACUAAUGCCGUAAACACUGGGAAAGCUGUGCCGGUAAAACAGAAGCGACCGGUCAAAUUUAAAAUUUACUGAUUACAGGUCCGGUCCGUUUAGACGGCGUCUGGGUCCGGAUCCGGACCGCGGUCCGCCAGUUAGUGACCCCUGCCAUAGACAGAAGACAGCGCUAGCGUAUCUAGUCUUCUAUCUAUAGCUAUGGUCGGUACGACUGGUAGCAUCUCUGGCUGCUGUUGACCUUGUUUUUGGAGUAAAACACGGUGGAAGCUGAAUUAGUGAGGAUGACUCCUGCUCCUGUCAUCUCUAAGCUCCUCACACAUCUUUACCUGCACAUGAGGAAAAUCACUCCUGUAGAAUGCAGAUGUUCAGAGGGAGAUGAUGCCACAUCUGGUCCAGCCGAUGGAAGGUCUUGAAGUUCUCUGACUGGCCUCGACUGAAGAUGGUCGUCUCACUGGAUUUAAGGUUCAGAUGCUCAGUAACAAACUCCACCAAUGAGCCAACAGGGAAGCUUUAGGUUUAUUAAAUGUUGCUAUGAAGGUAUCGCUGUUUUUCUUUGUGAAUGCAAUGUGCUCCAACUGAAACUUGAAUUAGAACUUAGAAGUAAAUCCUUCCAUCUGAAAGGAUUUAGUUGCAUUAAUAACCUCAUAAGAUUCUAAUUUUUAUUCCAAUCAUUGUUGGAAAUAGAAUCUCUGUAUUGAUUCAGGUAAAAACUGAACUUCACAGCAUGUUGGAGCAAAACAACCAGAUGAAAACUGUGAUGGUGUUGGAUUGUCAGACUGUAAUGUUGCAGCUCAAAGCAGCUUUUCUAGCUCAGUUCAUUCUGACAUUCAGCUAUGAAUCAACACAGCAGAUGGUGAUCCAUGCUGUGGAAGUCUCACAUCUCCUGAUUUAAUGGAGCUGCUUUGCACUUUUUACACUGUUUAUUCACCAACACUUUAUUUAAUAAAAGUCCCAUCUAGUUUU